ensembl:lncRNA
UACUUCCAGUAGACUGAUGCAAUAGCCAGAUACAGACGUGCGCUCUCCAUUAUUGUUCAGUGUUGUGCGUUUAUGCAAACAAAUACCACAACGCAAUAACCUGUGUCAAAUACUGCCAUUUGAUCCAUCA